GUGAACCUGCGGAAGGAUCAUUACCGAGAGUUGUAGGCUUCUGUCUACCAUCUCUUACCCAUGUCUUUUGCGUACUACACGUUUCCUCGGCAGGUCCGCCUGCGGCUAGGACAAUUUAAACCAUUUGCAGUUGCAGUCAGCGUCUGAAAAACUUAAUAAUUACAACUUUCAACAACGGAUCUCUUGGUUCUGGCAUCGAUGAAGAACGCAGCGAAAUGCGAUAAGUAGUGUGAAUUGCAGAAUUCAGUGAAUCAUCGAAUCUUUGAACGCACAUUGCGCCCCUUGGUAUUCCAUGGGGCAUGCCUGUUCGAGCGUCAUUUGUACCUUCAAGCUCUGCUUGGUGUUGGGUGUUUGUCCCGCCUCUGCGCGUGGACUCGCCUUAAAGCAAUUGGCAGCCGGCGUAUAGAUUUCGGAGCGCAGCACAAAACGCGCUUUGUAACCAAUACGGUGGCGUCCAGUAAGCCUUUUUUUAACUCUUGACCUCGGAUCAGGUAGGGAUACCCGCUGAACUUAAGCAUAUCAAUAAGCGGAGGAAAGGGCGAAUUCC
rnacentral:rRNA from 1 species